UUGGAGGGCAAGUCUGGUGCCAGCAGCCGCGGUAAUUCCAGCUCCAAUAGCGUAUAUUAAAGUUGUUGCAGUUAAAAAGCUCGUAGUUGAAUUUCGGGAUCAAUACGUCGGUCAUGCUUUUUGGUACGAACUGGCGUCAUUGGUUUCUCCUUUCUGACGAACCAUGAUGUCAUUAAUUUGGUGUUAUGGGGAGUUGGGACUGUUACUUUGAAAAAAUUAGAGUGUUUAAAGCAGGCAUAAGCUUGAAUACAUUAGCAUGGAAUAAUGAAAUAGGACGUUUGAUCCUAUUUUGUUGGUUUCUAGGAUCAACGUAAUGAUUAAUAGGGAUAGUUGGGGGCAUUAGUAUUCAAUUGUCAGAGGCGAAAUUCUUGGAUUUAUUGAAGACUAACUACUGCGAAAGCAUUUGCCAAGGAUGUUUUCAUUAAUCAAGAACGAAAGUUAGGGGAUCGAAGACGAUCAGAUACCGUCGUAGUCUUAACCAUAAACUAUGCCGACUAGGGAUCGGAUGAUGUUAAUUUUUUAAUGACUCAUUCGGCGCCUUACGGGAAAC
rnacentral:rRNA from 1 species